rnacentral:rRNA from 1 species
GUCUACCGCCAUGCCACCCUGAACAAGCCCGAUGUCUGAUCUUGGAAGCUAAGCAGGGUCAGGCUUGGUUAGUACUUGGAUGGGAGACCACCUAGGAAGACCAGGUGCUGUAGGCA